GGAAGCACUGUAGCAUCAGUGGUUGAGCACCUGCUUUGCAUGCAGAGGGUCCCAGGUUCAAUUCCUGGCAUUUCCA